UAGGGAAUCUUCCACAAUGGACGCAAGUCUGAUGGAGCAACGCCGCGUGAGUGAAGAAGGUUUUCGGAUCGUAAAGCUCUGUUGUUGGUGAAGAAGGAUAGAGGUAGUAACUGGCCUUUAUUUGACGGUAAUCAACCAGAAAGUCACGGCUAACUACGUGCCAGCAGCCGCGGUAAUACGUAGGUGGCAAGCGUUGUCCGGAUUUAUUGGGCGUAAAGCGAGCGCAGGCGGAAGAAUAAGUCUGAUGUGAAAGCCCUCGGCUUAACCGAGGAACUGCAUCGGAAACUGUUUUUCUUGAGUGCAGAAGAGGAGAGUGGAACUCCAUGUGUAGCGGUGGAAUGCGUAGAUAUAUGGAAGAACACCAGUGGCGAAGGCGACUCUCUGGUCGGAAACUGACGCUGAGGCUCGAAAGCAUGGGUAGCGAACAGG
rnacentral:rRNA from 1 species